rnacentral:lncRNA from 1 species
CUAUCCAACAGUGGCAGGGGACUGAGCUGUCUUUCAGACUGCCUUGUAUAUAAUAAAAUGUCAGGGACUUAUGCAAUAUAUAUAUGAAAAAUUGAGAUGGUGUAGUAUGUGACAUUAGUUGACAGACAUGUGCAGUUAUGAUAUUUAAUAAAUUCUAUGAUCAAGUUGUUUAUCAGUUGUACCAGUUUUCCAGCUCUGCCUGCAAAAUGUACGUUGGUACCUAGCCCAAGUGGCACGUUAUGCUGCAAGGAACCAAACUGUAUUUUUAGCUCCACUAUUUGGAGAAUAGGGGUGCUUUUCUACUCGCCCUUGCAUCGGCAUGAGCUUUCUGGUUAAAUUUUUUUUAGCAACCUUUGUUUUUCUUUGUUACUAUUGCUUAUAUAUUACACGUCAAAAUCAAGGCCACCAAGGUGUUAUACUUAGGUUAGUUUUACUGCCAAAUCACCAAAAAGUGGAGUGCGCUGUCUUGGGAACAGCUCUUGUUACCCAUGUUACCCAUACAGCCAAUGAUACCACUGCCUUCAUUACACCACCAACUUUACCAACAGGUGUUGUUACUGAUGCAUGACUGUCUCUGCCUACAGGAAUAACAGUAUAUCCUUUAUCUUUACAACCAUCAGAAAUAACAAUUUCCCUGGCUGGUUUCACUGUUAUUAUGCAGUAAGGGUUUCAACACCUACAGGAUCCACAUUCUUCCCACCAUCACUGUCAACUGUAUCAUCAACACCAGAAUCAUUUUCUAAUUCAGGCUGUCCAAAGACAAGAUCAAUUGGGAGCUUUAUUUCAGAGCCAUAGACCAUAGAUGCAGGUGUGACACCAAUGGCUUCAUGUACAGAACUACAAUGGGCCAUGAAACAUAAAGAUUUCAGGUGUGCAGUGUUCCCGAUUGUUCCACUCCAGUGUACCAUGCAGGGAAAUGUGUCAGAUAUUAUGUUGCUUCUGUCCUGUCUGUGUCUUCAGUAAGACCAACACCAUUUUCUCCGCUGGUAUCCCAGGCACCAAAGGGUAUUCUGGCCCAACACCAAAUAGCUAUUCCAUCCCAAUUCCUGGAUAUUCCAGCCCAACACCUGGUUCAACAGCAAGACCAUCCUGAAGCCCAGCACCGAGUGUGGGAAGCCCAUUGUUGGACCAAAAAUUGAAGCCUUCUCUGCAAACAUAGGUGCCCAUGAUAUGUGGAUCCACAGCCAUACUGUAAGAUGGUUCAGAAUCCUGCCACCAAGUGCUGCAUGAAACCCUCAUGCAAUGCUUGUUCACAGACACCUACACCACAGACAUACACACCAGAUGUAUGUGUAUACAAAGAAGUACAUACCAGGAAGGACAAUUGUGAUAUGAUGGCUGUAACAAUGUUUGUGUGGCAAAUGUAACAAAAACAUAUACACAUAUAAACAAAGAUAAGUUGC